GAGGGUGUGGCUCAAGUGGUAGAGCACAUGCUUAGCAUGCACGAGGUCCUGGGUUCAAUCCCCAGUACCUCCU
rnacentral:tRNA from 1 species